rnacentral:pre_miRNA from 1 species
CCUUGGCGUUCACUGCCUCUCUGGGCCUGUGUCUUAGGCUCUUCAAAGAUCAACCGAGCAAAAGCACACGGCCUGCAGAGAGGCAGCGCUGCGCUC